AGAGUGUUUUUGCGAAUGCAAUUACACCCCUCUUUACUGAAAAGCAUGCUUUUGAAGGAGAAAAGGCGACUCUUUCAUGCAACUACAGUGGAAGUAACAUACAGGUUUUACAGUGGUACAGACAGUAUCCCAACACUGCCCCCGAAUUUCUCUUGCUAGCUUUUGAAAAUAUGGGUCCAAAGCAGAAGGACCGUCAUGUUGCUGAAGCUCAAAAGGACAAAAAACAUCUGAAUCUGGAGAUCUCCAAAAUUGAAGUAGCAGAUGCUGCUCUGUACUACUGUGCACUGGUGCCCACAGUAACAGAAAACCCUUCAGCACUGUACAAAAACCUGAGAUGAGGAGGAAUACACAGAAAGAAGAAAGAAAGAAAGAAAGAAAGAAAGAAAGAAGGGAAGGAAGAGGAAGAAAGAAAGAAAGAAAGAAAGAAAGAAAGAAAGAAAGAAAGAAAGAAAGAAAGAAAGAAAGAAAGAAAGAAAAUCUCCAUAGAUGUUGAAUUUUCUUUAUGGAACCAUCAAUGCCAAUAAAGAACCUUUAAAAUGUCCAACUAAAUAUUCUGUAUUAUGAAUAAUUACAUUGUUAUCUCAUGGCUGAUUGAUUCAAAUUAAUUACUGCAGACACAUGGUGGCAUUAUUAUUAUCUCUUAACACACUGUAGCUUUGUCAGCAGUGAUGCUUAUGUUUAAUCUACUGACAAAAACUGGUAUAAAAUCAGCAGGAUCUAAAAUCAAGCAUAUCUUCUACAUCAUUCAGACUACUUGUCCCUAAAUAACUGCUGCAAUUAGUAAUAUAAACUAAUUAGUAAUCAGUGAAGUAAUGGCAUAAAAUGUACAGCAGAUGGCAGUGUUCACUCAGAUUACAGUAGAUUUAAAUCUUCAGUUGGUGUAACAGUUCAAAAAAGGAAAUGUGCACAAAUUCAGUCAGAGUCUGUGAGUUAAAAAGUUUGAGCUGCUUGUGAUGAUCCAUGAUGUUUCUAUGCAGUGUCUGGUUCAUUCUUCUCUUUUCAGGUGAUGCAUGUGGAGAAGGAAUAGCUCCUCUCUCCUCAUCUGAGCUUGUUACCGAUGGUGACUCCAUUACUUUGGCCUGCAAUUACAAUGGGACUUACAAUAGUGAUUCUCUCCUCUGGUAUCGUCAAUUCAGCAGCUCCAACCCAGAGUUUUUGUUUCUGGUUAGUGAAGCCAAACUUGAGCAGCCAGCUGACCCUCCAAUACCUGGAGUGUUUGCUAAAUUAAAUGAGGAGAAAAACCGUGUGGUUCUGAAGAUCUCCUCUGCUUCAGUAUCAGACUCUGCUCUGUACUACUGUGCCCUGCAGCCCACACUGACAGGAAACACAAGAACACUGUACCAAAUUAAAGAGAAAACAACUAAACGAACAACCUGAUGAACUACACAAAAUAUUGAAUUAAACCUCUAUAUGACUGUGUCUUUGUUGCAUGAUGUUCUAAAAAUAUAUUUAAAUAAUGGUGCAACCACAAAAUGUACAUAACCAG
ensembl:lncRNA